rnacentral:rRNA from 1 species
UACGUAGGGUCCGAGCGUUGUCCGGAAUUAUUGGGCGUAAAGGGCUCGUAGGCGGUUUGUCACGUCGGGAGUGAAAACUCAGGGCUCAACCCUGAGCGUGCUUCCGAUACGGGCAGACUAGAGGUAUGCAGGGGAGAACGGAAUUCCUGGUGUAGCGGUGGAAUGCGCAGAUAUCAGGAGGAACACCGGUGGCGAAGGCGGUUCUCCGGGCAUUACCUGACGCUGAGGAGCGAAAGCAUGGGGAGCGAACAGG